CACAAACGCGCACAUGACUCAAACGCCAGCCGCACCAUGCUCUUCAACAUCCACAGCAUGGACUGGGAUCCUGAGCUCUGCAGGUACUUGAUGUCCACGAUGGAAGUCCUUCCCCACUUGGUCAGCACCCCCUCUGAAAUCUACGGCUGGAUGAAACCGGCUC